rnacentral:rRNA from 1 species
GAUGAACGCUGGCGGCGUGCUUAACACAUGCAAGUCGAGCGAUGAAGCACCUUCGGGUGUGGAUUAGCGGCGAACGGGUGAGGAACACGUGAGGAAUCUGCCUUCCACUUCGGGAUAACUCCGGGAAACCGGGGCUAAUACCGGAUAUUUUCAACUGGCGGCAUCGCCGGUUGAAGAAAGUUUUUCGGUGAAAGAUGACCUCGCGGCCUAUCAGCUUGUCGGUGAGGUAAUGGCUCACCAAGGCGACGACGGGUAGCCGGCCUGAGAGGGCGACCGGCCACACGGGGACUGAGACACGGCCCAGACUCCUACGGGAGGCAGCAGUGGGGAAUAUUGGGCAAUGGAGGAAACUCUGACCCAGCGACGCCGCGUGAGGGAUGAAGGCCUUCGGGUUGUAAACCUCUUUCAGCAGGGUAUAAGCGAAAAUGAAGGUACCUGCAGAAGAAGCACCGGCUAACUAUGUGCCAGCAGCCGCCGUAA